CAGGCCAUUUACCAAUUUACAUCAAUAUCUCAGAAGUUUAACUUCUGACUUGAUGCUCUGAUUAAAAAAUGUUCAGUCUCACCUGGAGAUUAGUUUUCAUUCACUUCCCUUCAACAAUUAAGCCUGUGAAUUAUAGAUUAACCAGAUGAAUACCGCAGGAUGGGUGGAUGCACUUCUAUUCUAACAUCUUUUUUCAUUUUAUCCUGUUUAUUUGAUUUUUUUUGUGUUUUAUGAGCAGAGAAACCAUCUGAUAUGACAGUUCCCAUCAUUCCUGCAGUAGUUGUUUUUGUUCUCAUCAUCAUCGUUGCUGCUGCCGGAUUUGCUGUUUACAAAAAGAAGAAAGUUUCAGAGAGGCGACCUACAUCAUCUCCUGACAACAAUGAUGAACAGA